rfam:Schistosoma mattheei strain Denwood, Zambia genome assembly, scaffold: SMTD_scaffold0000972
AUCCAGCUGACCAGUCCCAUACAGGACAAAAUGCUCAUCUUGGAU